UUUUCCGGUUGAUCCUGCCGGACCCCACUGCUAUCGGGAUGGGACUAAGACAUGCUAGUCGUGCGUUUCUUAGCUAUGAUGGAGACGCGGCGCACAGCUCAGUAACACGUGGCUAACCUGCCCUUAGGACAAAGAUAAUCCCGGGAAACUGGGGCUAAUAUUUGAUAGGUGAAGAAUUCUGGAAUGAAUCUUCGCCUAAAGGGUGCCUAGGUCAUGCUUCUGGGUGCUGCCUGAGGAUGGGGCCGCGUCCGAUCAGGUUGUUGGUGAGGUAAUGGCUCACCAAGCCUAUAACCGGUGCGGGCCGUGAGAGCGGGAGCCCGGAGAUGGGCACUGAGACAAGGGCCCAGGCCCUACGGGGCGCAGCAGUCGCGAAAACUUUGCAAUACACGAAAGUGUGACAAGGUCAUCCCGAGUGCCGUCCGCUGAGGAUGGCUUUUACCCAGUAUAAAAAGCUGGGGGAAUAAGGAGAGGGCAAGUCUGGUGUCAGCCGCCGCGGUAAUACCAGCUCUCCGAGUGGUGUGGAUGUUUAUUGGGCCUAAAGCAUUCGUGGCCGGCUGGGCAAGUCCCCUGUUAAAUCCACCGAUUCAAUCGUUGGAAUGCGGGGGAUACUGUUCGGCUAGGGGACGGGAGAGGCCGACGGUAUUUCCGGGGUAGGGGUGAAAUCCUAUAAUCCCGGAAAGACCACCAGUGGCGAAGGCUGUCGGCUAGAACGCGCCCGACGGUGAGGGAUGAAAGCUGGGGGAGCGAACCGGAUUAGAUACCCGGGUAGUCCCAGCUGUAAACGAUGCAGGCUAGGUGUUUGGGCGGCUACGAGCCGCUCUAGUGCCGCAGGGAAGCUGUUAAGCCUGCCGCCUGGGGAGUACGGCCGCAAGGCUGAAACUUAAAGGAAUUGGCGGGGGAGCACCACAAGGGGUGAAGCUUGCGGUUUAAUUGGAUUCAACGCCGGGAAUCACUAGU
rnacentral:rRNA from 1 species